AGAGUUUGAUCAUGGCUCAGGAUGAACGCUAGCGGCAGGCCUAAUACAUGCAAGUCGAACGGUAACAUGAGAGCUUGCUCUUGAUGACGAGUGGCGCACGGGUGCGUAACGCGUAUGCAACCUACCUUUUACUGGGGGAUAGCCCGGAGAAAUCCGGAUUAAUACCCCAUGGUAUCCUGAUGCCCACAUGGGCUGUCAGGAUUAAAGAUUUAUUGGUAAAAGAUGGGCAUGCGUGACAUUAGUUAGUUGGUAAGGUAACGGCUUACCAAGACGAUGAUGUCUAGGGGUUCUGAGAGGAAGGUCCCCCACACUGAUACUGAGACACGGACCAGACUCCUACGGGAGGCAGCAGUAGGGAAUAUUGGUCAAUGGACGCAAGUCUGAACCAGCCAUGCCGCGUGCAGGAUGACAGCUUUCUGAGUUGUAAACUGCUUUUAUAUAGGAACAAAGAGGCCAUGCGUGGCAAGUUGCGUGUACUAUAUGAAUAAGCACCGGCUAACUCCGUGCCAGCAGCCGCGGUAAUACGGAGGGUGCAAGCGUUGUCCGGAUUUAUUGGGUUUAAAGGGUGCGUAGGUGGUUUUUUAAGUCAGUGGUGAAAGCCUGCAGCUUAACUGUAGAGGUGCCAUUGAAACUGGGAAACUUGAGUAUGGACGAGGUAGGCGGAAUUUGUGGUGCAGCGGUGAAAUGCAUAGAUACCACAAAGAACACCGAUAGCGAAGGCAGCUUACUGGACCAUAACUGACACUGAGGCACGAAAGCGUGGGGAGCGAACAGGAUUAGAUACC
rnacentral:rRNA from 1 species